GAAGCUGACCAGACAGUCGCCGCUUCGUCGUCGUCCUCCUUCGGGGGAGACGGGCGGAGGGGAGGAAAGUCCGGGCUCCAUAGGGCAGGGUGCCAGGUAACGCCUGGGGGGCGCAAGCCUACGACCAGUGCAACAGAGAGCAAACCGCCGAUG
rnacentral:RNase_P_RNA from 1 species